rnacentral:rRNA from 1 species
GACGAACGCUGGCGGCGUGCUUAACACAUGCAAGUCGAACGAUGAAGCCGGAGCUUGCUCUGGUGAAUUAGUGGCGAACGGGUGAGUAACACGUGAGUAACCUGCCCUUGACUCUGGGAUAACUGCUAGAAAUGGUGGCUAAUACCGGAUACGACCCUCGGAGGCAUCUCCAGGGGGUGGAAAGAAUUUCGGUCAAGGAUGGACUCGCGGCCUAUCAGCUAGUUGGUGAGGUAACGGCUCACCAAGGCGACGACGGGUCGCCGGCCUGAGAGGGUGACCGACCACACUGGGACUGGGACACGGCCCAGACUCCUACGGUAGGCAGCAGUGGGGAAUAUUGCACAAGGGGCGCAAGCCUGAUGCAGCAACGCCGCGUGAGGGAUGACGGCCUUCGGGUUGUAAACCUCUUUUAGUAGGGAAGAAGCGAAAGUGACGGUACCUGCAGAAAAAGCACCGGCUAACUACGUGCCAGCCGCCGCGGUAA